rnacentral:lncRNA from 1 species
CCUGAAUCGAGUGCCUUACUCGCACCUAAACUGAAAGCCCAGUUCGACACGUACAUUAAAAUGAAAGGUCCAGCCUGCCCAGAAAGUGGUUUUGCUUGUUUGUUUUUUUCAAUGAGCCCAGGGCAGGCCUGGUAAGUAGGGUUACUAGUGACAACACUUGUCCACACCAGACACCCAGACGCACGUCACCUUAAACGCAUGUGAGCCGGGCACACGGUGAAGUGUCAUGACCUCAUACAGAACACUUGGUGGAACCUAAAGCAUUUCUCCAGAGGACCCCCUGAUCAGUCCCCCUGGUUCCUCUGAACACGGGCACCCCUUCCUAGCCUUGAAGCUCAACAGCGGGAUCCAGGCCGGAAGGAGGUCGGGGGCUUAAAAUACAAAAUACCAGAGACGGAGACGCCCAGUGUGGCGUCUGUAUCUGACAGGGAACAGACCGGCUCAAAACCAGCCUGAAAGGCCACCCUACUAGGAAGUGGCCCCUUUAAAUCGCUGCUCUCUGCCUCCAGAGCAGAUAUGUGCACUCUGCUGCCAGCAGCAGCCAGCAAACAAAAACAAAUACUCAUUGAAGAGGGGGAGGAAGAGACUAAAAUGCAGAUUUGAAAUGUUCUGCUUCCUCAGCUCAGCUGAAACCGGAGCCAAAACGAAGGGGAAAGCUCCUGGAUCAGGGAAGAGCCAAAUGGACCGGUCAAACGCCACUCGACACUGAUACGGGAACAAAAACUCAGGCAGAAUUUGGGGAUAAGAAAAAAGCUGACGUUAUAUAAGAAGAGAGGCCCUAUCCGACCCAUGUGGGAUUUUGAAAGACAAAAUGUAAGGUCCUGCUCCUUUGUUGUUCACAGUUUGUAGAGCUCAGCAUAAGAACAAGGAUGCUAAUCCACAGAGCAAAUUAGUGUACUUCACUUUAAUGCCAUUAGACACAUUUAAAUUCCAUUCGAGGGCUUCCAGAGUUCAUUUAUCCACUUCCCAAAUGGCUGGAUAAUUCGGGACAAGAGGAAUCUUUUCUGAAAAAAAAAUCAAGCACUGGAAUGGCAGUAUUCCAGCAGAUCAGAAUCUAAGUGCACAAAGGAGCUAAAUGGCUAUGCGAGUGAAAAACGCAUUGCCAUUUGCCUCUUAGUUCUGACUGAAAAUAAACACGUCAGAACAUAAAAAAGAUCUAUCUGGUUUCCUGAUGAUGAAACCUCUUUAAAAAGGAGACAUCUCCUGAAUAUUCAAAACAAUUCAUACCAUAAUAUGUUGACGAUGACGAUUUAUACCAAAAAUAAAUAAAAUUCCUAAAAUCUCCUAAGAAACCUUCUACUCCCAAAAGCCUACCCCCAAAGAAUUCUCAGUAACCUAGGUACAUCAACUUAAAACCCACUCCCGGCACUUCUGUAUAAGCCUUAGCUCUUAUUUACACUAACUCUCUUCCCCUCUUCAAAGACCAGUGCUUAGAACAGUGCUUUGCACAUAGUAAGUGCUUAACAAAUGCCUUCAUUAUUAUUACUGAGAGCUCACCUCCUCCAGGAGGCCUUCCCAGACUGAGCCCUCCCUUUCCCUCCGCCCCUCCUCCCUCCCUCUAAUCUACCCCUUUCCGCUCCCCAUAGCACUUGUGUAUAUUUGUAUAUAUUAUUACUCUAUUUUAUUAAUGAUGUGCAUAUAUCUAU